rnacentral:lncRNA from 1 species
CGCUGUCACCUCUCAAAACCACCUCACUUGGUUGUAGGAGGUCAUUGAAGAUUGCCUGGAGGAAGCCAUGUUCAAUGGGCACAUUUGUAGAAUGAUGUGAGCCAGAGUAUGGGGUACUGAAGCAGAAAAGGAUGCCCUUCAAUUUGAUAGAAAAGCACUACAUGAAUCCCUGUAAGACUCCACAAAUUAAACUAGGAGCUGUGUCAACCUGCUCUCUGUUUUACAUCCAUGUGGGAGGGUCUACGAGCACUCAUGUGGACAGUGUCUCUGUGCAUCUGUUUAAGAAAUUUUUGCCUACACUGAAGUCACAAGAAUGCUCUCCAAUGUGUUCUUUAAAAAGUCUUAUAGCUUUACUUUUAACAUUUAGACCCGUGAUAAGUUUGGAAUUAUUUUGUGUUUACAGUGUUAGAUAGGGUUAUCUAACUAACACAAUCAUUUUUUGAAAAUAUUUCUGUACAUGACUUU